GCCCCUUAUAGCUUAAAACAAAGCAUUGUUCUUGUAAACCAAAGCUGGA
rnacentral:tRNA from 1 species